rnacentral:rRNA from 1 species
AAGAUGGCGACCGGCGCACGGGUGAGUAACACGUAUCCAACCUGCCGAUAACUCCGGAAUAGCCUUUCGAAAGAAAGAUUAAUACCGGAUGGCAUACGAAUAUCGCAUGAUAUUUUUAUUAAAGAAUUUCGGUUAUCGAUGGGGAUGCGUUCCAUUAGUUUGUUGGCGGGGUAACGGCCCACCAAGACUACGAUAGAUAGGGGUUCUGAGAGGAAGGUCCCCCACAUUGGAACUGAGACACGGUCCAA